rnacentral:rRNA from 1 species
CAUGUAGGCGGUUGGAUAAGUCUGUUGUUAAAGCCCCCGGCUCAACUGGGGAGGUCAAUGGAGACUGUCCGACUUGAGGGCAACAGAGGCACAUGGAACUCCCGGUGUAGCGGUGGAAUGCGUAGAGAUCGGGAAGAACACCCGUGGCGAAGGCGGUGUGCUGGGUUGCAACUGACGCUGAGAUGCGAAAGUGUGGGUAGCAAACG